rnacentral:rRNA from 1 species
UACGUAGGGGGCAAGCGUUGUCCGGAAUCAUUGGGCGUAAAGCGCGUGUAGGCGGUUCGGUAAGUCUGCUGUGAAAGUCCAGGGCUCAACCCUGGGAUGCCGGUGGAUACUGUCGGACUAGAGUCCGGAAGAGGAGAGUGGAAUUCCCGGUGUAGCGGUGAAAUGCGUAGAGCUCGGGAAGAACAUCGGUGGCGAAAGCGCUCUGCUGGACUGCAACUGACACUCAGGGACGAAAGCUAGGGGAGCGAAUGGG